rnacentral:lncRNA from 1 species
AGAUGGGAACAGGACUGGGAAAGUCUACAGGAUAUUGUGCUCUGGAGUUAAAUAGCUUCUGAAGAAGAGAAAAAGCAAGAAGACUUUUUGUUUCUAAUUUUUUUUUUUUUUUUUUUGUAGAGACUGGGUCUCAUUGUGUUGCCCAGGCUGGUCUCAAACUUCUAGGCUCAAGCAACCCUUCCACCUCAGCCUCCCAAAGUGCUGGAAUUACACGUGUGAGCCACCAUGCCCAGCUUAAAGGCUUCCCCUGAGAGUAUUUUCAUCAGAGGACACAGAUGUAUUUUUGCAUAGCAUCCUCAAUAAAAAGAGCUAAGUCACAUUUCCACCUCAAGAGAGAAUUCAUUCUAUUAAGAACUCUAUCUAGCUAUCUGUCAUCUAUCUAUCUAUCUAGCUAUCAUCUAUCUGUCUAUCUAUCUAUCUAUCUAUCUAUCUAUCUAUCUAUCUAUCAUUUCAACCACGGAAUUAAUAGCAGAAACCAUGAACAUUAUAUCUGAACUUUUUGGAUCUUUAAAAACCAAGCAGGACUUCUGCUUCUAGGAAGAUGGAGUAGAGGCACUUCCCCCUAAUUUUUCUUGCAAAUUACAACAAAAACCCUGGACAUUAUAAAAACAACAACAAGAAGAUUCUGAAAAGUGGAGAAAAUAAAGCAGACUGUCCAGGGACCUUGCGACCUGAGCAACAACAUGGCAGUGAGUUCCCUGGUUUUUCCUUUUGCCUCAUAUAUGUAGACUUGGAGCUAAGGAAGCAGGAGCUCAGAAACACCAAAGGAUGUAGAAAGGCCCCAGUAAAAACUUGCUGUCUCUACCCAAAGGAUGAAGAAAAGGACAAGCAAGACAGAAAGCUUCUAGAUAAUAACCGCUCUGCUCCAACCAAACACCACAGGAAGGCUGCAGCCCCACCUGCAUCCAUGGCAGCAGAGUGGGGAGCCUAGACUUCCACCCUCACCAGGCCUCGCCAAGGCACCCCUCCUUCUUUCUGCUAUGGUAGCAUCAGAGGAGGCCAAGGAAGGAGCUGGGAUUAUCCCUGGGUGGUAAUGAGCCCCCCUUCUGCCCACGGGGUUAGUGGAGAACAUACAAGAAGCCUGGACCCCUAACUGUCAAUAGGGAGGCUCCCCUCCCCUUCCUGCUGGAUGGUGUCAGAAGAGGCCUACUGGAGAGUCAGGACUUUCAGCACUGCCCAGUGAUAACAAGGUGAUGUUCACCACAGUGUCAGGAGAGACCACUUGGGAGCCCAAACUCCCACCCCUGCCUAGCAGUAAUGAGAAGUCCUUUCCUUGAGUGUCACUGGAAGCAGAGCAGGGAGCCUGGACACCUGUCAGUGAUACAGUGGCACACCUCCUUUACCCUGCCAGAGGGGUGUCCUAGAAUACCAGCUAAAGCAGAAGGUUUACAUAAGAUCCAGUCUUAUAACAUAUUACAAAAAUAUUCAGGUUUCAGUUAAAAAAAAAAUAAAUAAAUAAAUAAAAAUCGGUCUUCAUACCAAAAACCAGGAAGAUCAUGAAUAAAGGAAAAAAGAUGUCAACACUGAGAAAACAGAUAUCAGAAUGAUCCGAUGAAGAUUUUAAAGCAUCCAUAGUUAAAAGUGCUUCAAUGAACAAUUAUGAACAUAUAUAAAACAAAUGAAAACAACACAUCUCAGCAAAUAAAUAUAAAGAAGAUAUAAAGAAAAGUCAAAUAAAAAUUUUAGAACUGAGACAUACAAUAAUUGAAAUAAAAAACUCAGUGGGGCCGGGUGCGGUGGCUCAUGCCUGUAAUCCGGGCACUCUGGGAGGCCGAGGUGGGUGGAUCAGGAGGUCAGGCAUUCGAGAUCAGCCUGGCCAACAUAGUGAAAUCCCAUCUCUACUAAAAAUACAAAAAAUGAGCCGGGUGUGGUGGCAGGUGCCUGUAAUCCCAGCUACCUGGGAGGCUGAGGCAGGAGAAUUGCUUGAACCUGGAAGGUGGAGGUUGCAGUGAGCCGAGAUCAUGCCACUGCACUCCUGCCUGGGCAACAGUGCGAGACUCCAUCUCAAAAAACAAAAACAAAAACAAAAACAAACAAACGAAAAACAGUGGAUAGGCUCAAUGGCAGAAUGGAGGGGACAGAGGACAGAAUUAAUGACCUGGGUGACAGAACAAUAGGUGUUACCCAGUCUGACCAACGGAGAGAAAAUAGACUGAAAAAUGCAUGCUCAGAGCCUUAGGGACCUGUGACCUAUAACAAGAAACCUAACAUUCCUGUCAUCAGAGUUCCAGAAAGGGAAAAAGAGAGUGACUGAAAAAAAAAAUACUCAAAGAAAUGGAUGAAAACUUCAUAGAUUUGACAAAAGACAUGAAGCUAUAGACUUAAGAAGCUGAGCAAACCCUCAAGAGAGUAAACUUAAGAAAAGCUAUUCCAAGACACAUCAUAGUCAAACUUCUGAGGACUAAGGACAAAGGAAAAAAAUCUUAAAAGCAGUGCAAGAGAAACAACAGCUCGUAUAUAAAGGAAAAACAAUGGAAUGACGGCAGCUAUCUCAACAGAAACCAUGGAGGCCAGAAAUCCCACAGGACUGAAGAAUCUACUUUUCAACAGAUCCCCAGUGAUUUGCAUGCUCAUUUAAAUUUGAGAAGCUCUGCUCUGGAGAGGUCCCACAACACUUAUCCCCAAGAGGCCUGAGCUGCCCAGUUCCUACUGCUCUGAGAAGUGGGGUUCCAUGCUCCCUUGGAUUCAAAGGCUCCUGUUGACUUGCCUUUUUCUAACUCUGGCCAGCUUGGUUUCUGUAUUUCUUUUUUUUUUCUUUUUGAGACGGAGUCUCACUCUGUCCC